AGCGAACGCUGGCGGCAGGCCUAACACAUGCAAGUCGAGCGCCCCGCAAGGGGAGCGGCAGACGGGAGAGUAACACGUGGGAACGUACCCUUCAGUUCGGAACAAGCAAGGGAAACUUUGGCUAAUACCGAAUACGUCCGUAAGGAGAAAGAUUUAUAGCUGAAGGAUCGGCCAGCGUCUGGUUAGCUAGGUGGUAGCGUAACGGCCCACCAAGGCGACGAUCAGUAGCUGGUCUGAGAGGAUGAUAAGCCUCACUGGGACUGAGACACGGCCCAGAAUCCUACGGGAGGCAGCAGUGGGGAAUAUUUGACAAUUGGCGCAAGCCUGAUCCAGCCAUGCCGCGUGGAUGAUGAAGGCCCUAGGGUUGUAAAGUCCUUUCGGCGGGGAAGAUAAUGACGGUACCCGCAGAAGAAGCCCCGGCUAACUUCGUGCCAGCAGCCGCAGUAA
rnacentral:rRNA from 1 species